rnacentral:rRNA from 1 species
CUGCGAAAAGCCACGGGGAGCCGUCUACUAGGCCCUGAUCCGUGGAUGUCCGAAUGGGGAAACCCAGCACCCGUCAUGGGGUGUUACCCCGGAGUGAAUACAUAGCUCCGGUGGAGGGAACGUGGGGAAUUGAAACAUCUCAGUACCCACAGGAAAGGAAAGCAACCGCGACUCCCUUAGUAGCGGCGAGCGAAGAGGGAAGAGGCUAAACCGUGUCAGUGCCAAGCCUGAUGGCGUUGCUGACGCGGGGUCGAGGGACCAAGAGACACAGCAUCAGAUGUGUCACGGAGUUACCAAGUUGCAGUGUAGGAGAACGGCUCUGGAAAGGCCGGCCGUAGUGGGUAACAGCCCCGUAUCCGAAACAUUCGCAGCCUCCGCUUGUCAUCCCAAGUAACGCCGGGACCGUGAAAACCGGCGUGAAUCCGUGGGGACCACCCCAUAAGCCUAAGUAUUCCUUGGCGACC